rnacentral:lncRNA from 1 species
AUGGAGGCCUGUCACAUCCAGCCUGGCCUCCCACUGUGCCCUUGGGUGGAUGGAGCAGAGAGAUGGGCCAGCCUGCCUCAGGGAAGCAGGGGGGGGGGCGGCCCUGGGAGUAGACUUGAGCUGGGAGGCCCCACAGCUGGGCUGAGGCCACGAGGUCCUCAGGCAGCCCCCAUCCUGUCCCUGGGCAGCCUUCCUCAGAGAAGGCCCUUCCAGGGACAGGCCGGGGGCUGCUCACAAGGCUUCCUCGGGAAAAGAGCAAGUGUUUGGGAGGCUCUCUGGGCCACAGGGAGUCACGCGGGCAGUGUGAGUGCCUGCCCCUGCCCGCCCCUGCCCACCCCUGCCUGGCCUAUGUCCACCCCUGCCUGGCCUAUGUGGCCUUGAGCCUAGGCCCUUGCUGGGCUGGGGCCAGGUCAGGAGCUGAGCAGCACCCAUGGAGCCACCCUCCUGUCCGUGUCCAGGGAAUGGCUGGACAGUGGCCCCUGAGCCUCGGAAGCCCAGCACCCCUCCCCAGGCAGGUGGGCAGCACCGAUCUUGUCUACGUGUGAAGCUGCCGCAGUGACUUGUUUCGGCCUCGGCCGCUGUUCCUGUGCCGGUGGGCCUUUGGCUGAGGCUCUCGGGGCUUGUGUUGCAGGCUGGGUGUGGGGCAGAUCCUGAAAUGUUUGCUCCUUGGUGCCGUGAGCAGGGCAGCCCAGGGCCUGGGGCGUUGCAGGAGGAGCCCCGACCUGACCUGCCGUUGUUGGAUGUAUUUUUUUUUAACAGCAAUAAUUAGCCAUUUUGAAGAAGGGGUGUGCCUGUGUGUGUGCAUGCACACACGUGUAUGUGUGCUGGUGCGUAUGCACACGUGUGCACACGCAUACGUGUACACGCGCACACGUGCAUGCCUGUGCCUGUGUGUACCUGCACGUGUGUGCACACGUGUGUAAGCGUGUGGCGACAGGGAGGGAACCUCCUGUUUCAGCCGCGGGGGCUGGCGCUAAGCCCCCCACCGAGACGCAGGGGCCCUGGCUCCGUGCUGUGCUUCCUUCUCCCAGGCCUGCCCCAGGGCCCAGCAAACCUUGAAUGUAGUGUUCCUUCCCCCUUGGUGGAGGGCACUGGACGGGCCUGUGUGAAGUGGGGGGUGGGGGUGGGGAGGCCCGGAUGAGCCUUUGCCUGGGUCUCGGGGGGUGCGGGGAGGAUAGCAUGGGUGGACACUUAGCCAGACCAGCCAAGAUCAGAUUUGAUGACGUGGAGUCACCUUGGUCAGGCUGUUUGACCACAGCUGCUGUGGACGCCGUGUGUUUGGGUGAACAGAGCCCAGAUCAUGUCAUGGUGUCUGGGUUCCCUUCCUGUGGUUACUGUUGAUGACCCUGCAAUUGUGGCACCUGUCCUGAGACCCCAGGAUGUGCCCCAACAGCCCCCGAGAGGGCCCAGAGGGGCAGCGGAGACAGGCUGCAGGGCCGGGGUGGGUGGGGGUCGCAGGCUUCCUGUGGGUGUGUGAGCAGCAAGGGGGGAGUGCUGUGGGCCCUCUGCCUGCACGGCCCCCAAUGCUGUUGUUUUUCAAUAAAACCAGAGUUGAC